rnacentral:rRNA from 1 species
UAUGGAGAGUUUGAUCCUGGCUCAGGAUGAACGCUGGCGGCGUGCCUAAUACAUGCAAGUCGAGCGAACGGAYGAGAAGCUUGYUUCUCUGAUGUUAGCGGCGGACGGGUGAGUAACACGUGGAUAACCUACCUAUAAGACUGGGAUAACUUCGGGAAACCGGAGCUAAUACCGGAUAAUAUUUUGAACCGCAUGGUUCAAAAGUGAAAGACGGUCUUGCUGUCACUUAUAGAUGGAUCCGCGCUGCAUUAGCUAGUUGGUAAGGUAACGGCUUACCAAGGCAACGAUGCAUAGCCGACCUGAGAGGGUGAUCGGCCACACUGGAACUGAGACACGGUCCAGACUCCUACGGGAGGCAGCAGUAGGGAAUCUUCCGCAAUGGGCGAAAGCCUGACGGAGCAACGCCGCGUGAGUGAUGAAGGUCUUCGGAUCGUAAAACUCUGUUAUUAGGGAAGAACAUAUGUGUAAGUAACUGUGCACAUCUUGACGGUACCUAAUCAGAAAGCCACGGCUAACUACGUGCCAGCAGCCGCGGUAAUACGUAGGUGGCAAGCGUUAUCCGGAAUUAUUGGGCGUAAAGCGCGCGUAGGCGGUUUUUUAAGUCUGAUGUGAAAGCCCACGGCUCAACCGUGGAGGGUCAUUGGAAACYGGAAAACUUGAGUGCAGAAGAGGAAAGUGGAAUUCCAUGUGUAGCGGUGAAAUGCGCAGAGAUAUGGAGGAACACCAGUGGCGAAGGCGACUUUCUGGUCUGUAACUGACGCUGAUGUGCGAAAGCGUGGGGAUCAAACAGGAUUAGAUACCCUGGUAGUCCACGCCGUAAACGAUGAGUGCUAAGUGUUAGGGGGUUUCCGCCCCUUAGUGCUGCAGCUAACGCAUUAAGCACUCCGCCUGGGGAGUACGACCGCAAGGUUGAAACUCAAAGGAAUUGACGGGGACCCGCACAAGCGGUGGAGCAUGUGGUUUAAUUCGAAGCAACGCGAAGAACCUUACCAAAUCUUGACAUCCUUUGACAACUCUAGAGAUAGAGCYUUCCCCUUCGGGGGACAAAGUGACAGGUGGUGCAUGGUUGUCGUCAGCUCGUGUCGUGAGAUGUUGGGUUAAGUCCCGCAACGAGCGCAACCCUUAAGCUUAGUUGCCAUCAUUAAGUUGGGCACUCUAAGUUGACUGCCGGUGACAAACCGGAGGAAGGUGGGGAUGACGUCAAAUCAUCAUGCCCCUUAUGAUUUGGGCUACACACGUGCUACAAUGGACAAUACAAAGGGCAGCGAAACCGCGAGGUCAAGCAAAUCCCAUAAAGUUGUUCUCAGUUCGGAUUGUAGUCUGCAACUCGACUACAUGAAGCUGGAAUCGCUAGUAAUCGUAGAUCAGCAUGCUACGGUGAAUACGUUCCCGGGUCUUGUACACACCGCCCGUCACACCACGAGAGUUUGUAACACCCGAAGCCGGUGGAGUAACCUUUUAGGAGCUAGCCGUCGAAGGUGGGACAAAUGAUUGGGGUGAAGUCGUAACAAGGUAGCCGUAUCGGAAGGUGCGGCUGGAUCACCUCCUU